rnacentral:snoRNA from 1 species
CCCUGAAGUGAUGAAACAAAAGGCCGAUUGAAGCCCCCCCAGCAGUCUGUUCACAAAGGGGGGGCCGUGACAAAACCGAGCUGAAGCGUAUUCUGAUCCAGGG